CGGCCCCGGCCCCUCCGGGGGGAUCCCAGCCCCGGCCCCUCCGGGGGGAUCCCGGCCGGGACUCCGGCUGGGAGGGACACUGUGGCGCGCUCCCCGCUCUGCACGUCCCUGAGCGCCGCUGGGACACUCACACGCGCCUUUUGGAUGACUUUUUUUUUUUGUCUUCAUUUCCUGGGGCGGUGCUGCCCAUGGGGUUCUUUUGCUGGAGCGCCUCCACCUCCCAAAAAUUUCUGACCUCCUUUUUGUGUUCGUUUGUUCCACAUGCUCAUUCCAGUCCCCAAAGCAGGAGCUCACAGACUGAUUUUCCCAUAGGACACUUGCCUUGCAUGCUAGCAGGAACGACAGCACAGACAGGGAGCAUCUGAGGUGAGGAAACGAGAAGAUUUUGAGAGCUGCAGAGGCACUUGGAAAGUUCUUGGCUCAUAUGCACUGCGCCAGACCACACCUUCUCCUUGAGGAAUUCCCAGGCUUUCAUUGCAAGACUGUGAUCUCUGUAAACUCUUGUCUCUGAUGUCUGAAUAUUUGUAAUACUUCUCAUUGUUCAGGAUUUAGCUCCAUCCAAGCGCAUGGGGUGACUUGCCAUUCACCAGCAGAUAUGUUCCAGGCUUCCUCCAGCAAGUUUUUCUCACCUCUCCAAGCUCUCCUGUGUACACCAGCAGGCUGUCAAGGAGGGCGAGGAGAAGAAAAUCGUGGUCCCCUCAGAAGUCAGCAGAAAACUUUUCACCUGCUUUUGGAGAGUCCAUGCCGUGCCUUCCCUGCUGAUCUCGCCAAUGCUCGGGCAGUGUCCCAGCUCAGUGUCAAUGAGGAUUUGGGCUGUUCCUGUUGUUUGGGCUGUUCCUGUGAGGUGGAUGCUGCUGUGGCCAGGCAGGGUGUGAGCCUCGCUCAGCGCCUGUGUCCUGCUGGGUCAGCCACUGGCCAUCUGCACUGGAUCCACGGAGCUGCAUGGCUGCGGGUCUGGAAGGGGCCUGUGUGUGGGAGCAGAAAGACCACUCCUAAACACAGUCUCUCUGGGUGUGAGAAAGACAGAGUCUUCAAAUUGUGCCUGGACUACUCAGUGCUUUGUAAGCUUUGGUGCAAGAAAAGGGAGAGCCUGGGAUUUCCAAUGAAAGAAAAACAUCCACAGAAAUAAAUAAAAUUUAAGACUAAUGGAGCUGUAAGGACAAUAAUUGCAGAACUACAUGCUGGUAAAUUUUUAUCACACAAUAAUACAUAUGGCAGCAGCAAAUA